rnacentral:rRNA from 1 species
CCAAGGCAAUGAUGCAUAGCCGAGUUGAGAGACUGAUCGGCCACAUUGGGACUGAGACACGGCCCAAACUCCUACGGGAGGCAGCAGUAGGGAAUCUUCCACAAUGGACGCAAGUCUGAUGGAGCAACGCCGCGUGAGUGAAGAAGGGUUUCGGCUCGUAAAGCUCUGUUGGUAGUGAAGAAAGAUAGAGGUAGUAACUGGCCUUUAUUUGACGGUAAUUACCUAGAAAGUCACGGCUAACUACGUGCCAGCAGCCGCGGUAAUACGUAGGUGGCAAGCGUUGUCCGGAUUUAUUGGGCGUAAAGCGAGUGCAGGCGGUUCAAUAAGUCUGAUGUGAAAGCCUUCGGCUCAACCGGAGAAUUGCAUCAGAAACUGUUGAACUUGAGUGCAGAAGAGGAGAGUGGAACUCCAUGUGUAGCGGUGGAAUGCGUAGAUAUAUGGAAGAACACCAGUGGCGAAGGCGGCUCUCUGGUCUGCAACUGACGCUGAGGCUCGAAAGCAUGGGUAGCGAACAGGAUUAGAUACCCUGGUAGUCCAUGCCGUAAACGAUGAGUGCUAAGUGUUGGGAGGUUUCCGCCUCUCA